rnacentral:rRNA from 1 species
CAGCAGUAGGGAUCUUCCGCAAUGGGCGAAAGCCUGACGGAGCAACGCCGCGUGAGUGAUGAAGGGUUUCGGCUCGUAAAACUCUGUUAUUAGGGAAGAACAAAUGUGUAAGUAACUGUGCACAUCUUGACGGUACCUAAUCAGAAAGCCACGGCUAACUACGUGCCAGCAGCCGCGGUAAUACGUAGGUGGCAAGCGUUAUCCGGAAUUAUUGGGCGUAAAGCGCGCGUAGGCGGUUUCUUAAGUCUGAUGUGAAAGCCCACGGCUCAACCGUGGAGGGUCAUUGGAAACUGGGAAACUUGAGUGCAGAAGAGGAAAGUGGAAUUCCAUGUGUAGCGGUGAAAUGCGCAGAGAUAUGGAGGAACACCAGUGGCGAAGGCGACUUUCUGGUCUGUAACUGACGCUGAUGUGCGAAAGCGUGGGGAUCAAACAGGAUUAGAUACCCUGGUAGUCCACGCCGUAAACGAUGAGUGCUAAGUGUUAGGGGGUUUCCGCCCCUUAGUGCUGCAGCUAACGCAUUAAGCACUCCGCCUGGGGAGUACGACCGCAAGGUUGAAACUCAAAGGAAUUGACGGGGCCCC